GACGAACGCUGGCGGCGUGCUUAACACAUGCAAGUCGAACGGAAAGGCCCUGCGUUUGUGGGGUGCUCGAGUGGCGAAAAGGUGAGUAAAACGUGAGUAACCUGCCCUUCACUUUCGGAGAAAUUCAGGAAAAAGGGGCUAAUACCGCAGAGGAGACGCGGCUGCAUGGCGGGGGUGGGAGAGUUUCGGCGGUUGGGGAUGGGCUCGCGGCUUAUCAGCUUGUUGGUGGGGGAGUGGCUUACCAAGGCUUUGACGGGUAGCCGGCCUGAGAGGGUGACCGGCCACACUGGGACUGAGACACGGCCCAGACUCCUACGGGAGGCAGCAGUGGGGAAUAUUGCACAAUGGGCGCAAGCCUGAUGCAGCAACGCCGCGUGCGGGAUGACGGCCUUCGGGUUGUAAACCGCUUUUGGCUGUGACGAAGCGUGAGUGACGGUAACUGGUGAAGAAGCACCGGCUAACUACGUG
rnacentral:rRNA from 1 species